UGCUUUCAUAUUUAUGUAUUAUAUUUUAUUUUGCGCAUGAAGUUUGAUACAUUACCUUAAAUCUUGAUUUAAAACACGGGUUGGGCCGUUGUUAAUCUUACACCAUGUAGUGCUAGCAUAUUACUUCUCGCUACCUACUAGCCCCCCCAGCCCCUCCCCGCUGCCCCACACCCAAUUUACCCCGUUUUAUUUCUAGAAGAAAUACCACUUGCGCCAAGUCUAGAAUCUUGAAAGAGAACUGAUGGGUGGCGACUUUCUGGGUUGUUUGAUGUUGUCUUAGGUGAGACGGAGACAGGCAGUCUUAGUAAAGUGUAAUUUUUCAGGAGAUGCUACCGCUAACGUACUAAGCUAAUAUGGCUGCCUUGUAUGCUUCAAGGAGGGGCUGUGAACACUUCCGACAUUAAUUAUAACCACAACCGCAUUCUGUUCAGCUACUGUAUUGUUCAGAUGACUUCAUUUAUGAAUUAAUUAAGAAAUUUAUUGUCAGUAUAACAUCAUCCAAAACACUGCUUCUCUUGAUAUACAAUAUUAAUUUACAUUAUUUUCUUUCUUGCUUUUUUCCCCUCUGAGUCAUUUGUGAUGUCUUUUGCAGCUCGAAGGAGAAUCCAGGCUCUCUGAUACUCAAAUGGAAAGAGUACAGAGCUUGGCAUAUUCAUGGGACCUUCUUUGCCCCACAGAGAACAAUAGGAAGUGGCUUUUUGAGAAGCUGUUACUUCAUGCAGUUCUUGGACGCGUCGCAAGACAAAUAAAGCAGCUUAGACGAGGCUUGAAAGAAACCCCAAUAUGGUCACUGGAAACUCGGCGGCCUGUUGCUGUACCGCUGCUUUUUCCAAGGGAGGAAGCCUCCCUGUGUCCAGAGGUGGUACUUCAGCAUAUCACUUGGCCAGAAACAGAUGACUGAAGUGAUGAAGAUGACGACUGCUCAAAGGAAACCAGAUGCCACAUUUCAGGAUAUCUGAAACAGUUAAUUGCAAAUGUCUAGCUCUAUCUCAACAUGUGGUUCCAGAACUGAUGUGGAUUUUAAUAAAAAGUAAAACUGUCUUGAAUAUUUCCAGUUACUUUAGUCUUACAAACAUACUAAGUUAUCCAUAUGUUGCGGAUGUAUGAUAAAUUAGAAUUGAAAAUGUGAUUGUGGCUUUGUUCUCUUCCAAAGCCACACCACCUGAACUGAAAGACAUGAUCAAAUUCUGGACCGGAUAGGAAAAUCUGCCGUCAAGUCUGUCUGUGGAGAUUGUUCAUGGAAAAUACCCAACAGCUGCCACUUGCUACGAAACGCUAAGAAUUCCUUGUCACUACAGGAGUUACAAAUCUUUCAGUGAUGAGUUGUUAGCAUGUAUUUGCUCUACGCAAACUGGCUUUGGCUUGCUUUGAAUGAUCGACCUAUUAAAAAAAAAAAACUCUACAUUUAAGCUGUAGCAGUUCUUUGUUUGUGAAGCAGCUUUGUUAAAAUGAAAGUUUUGUUGAAAUGUAGAAUCAAUUCAAUUUUCUGAUUUUGUCAGAUGAUUACAUAUAAUCAUAUGUAUUGAACAUGUGAUUCAAUACAUAUGAAUGUAUUGAAUUCAUAUUCAUAUGUAUUGAAUAUGA